AUUAUGGCUCAGGAUGAACGCUAGCUACAGGCUUAACACAUGCAAGUCGAGGGGCAGCAUGAUCUGUGCUUGCACAGAUUGAUGGCGACCGGCGCACGGGUGAGUAACGCGUAUCCAACCUUCCCCUUAGUAGGGCAUAGCCCGGCGAAAGUCGGAUUAAUACCCUAUGUUCUUCGUCGAGGACAUCUGAAGUGAAGCAAAGAUUUAUCGCUAAGGGAUGGGGAUGCGUCCGAUUAGGUUGUUGGCGGGGUAACGGCCCACCAAGCCUUCGAUCGGUAGGGGUUCUGAGAGGAAGGUCCCCCACACUGGUACUGAGACACGGACCAGACUCCUACGGGAGGCGGCAGUGAGGAGUAUUGGACAAUGGCCGAGAGGCUGAUCCAGCCAUGCCGCGUGCGGGAAGGACGGCCCUAUGGGUUGUAAACCGCUUUUGUUGGGGAGCAAUAAGGGUCACGUGUGACCUGAUGAGAGUACCCAGCGAAUAAGCAUCGGCUAACUCCGUGCCAGCCGCAGC
rnacentral:rRNA from 1 species